rnacentral:tmRNA from 1 species
GGGGGCGUACUGGUUUCGACGGGGACAUGGGUGCGGGAAUAGCGGGCGGAUGCGCCUGACAUCCUAAAAACGGGCAACUUAUAAAUUAAAGAACAACGACAACGAAGUUCUCGCCGCUGCUUGAUUAGCGGCCGUCCACCCCGGAAGGACCACGAGCCGGGCUUGGGCGUGACCUGAGUGGUGCACGUGACCGGGGUAAGCUUUGCCCCCGGCAUGACCAAUGAAGCUACCAACCCAUGAAGCAUGACGGCUUGCGUCAUGGCGCGGGAAUGCAAACAACCGUCUGCGCCCGGAGAAGUUCCCGAGGAAGUGUUUUCGGACGGGGGUUCAACUCCCCCCGCCUCCACCA